rfam:Methyloceanibacter methanicus strain R-67174 contig_5, whole genome shotgun sequence.
AGGGAGGUUGGCGGCAGGCGCGUGCCUCGCCAACCGGGUCAGGUCCGGAAGGAAGCAGCCCUAACGAGCGUUUCGCGGGUUGAUUGUCCAGCCUCCCACCU